rnacentral:rRNA from 1 species
AGUGAACGCUGGCGGUAGGCCUAACACAUGCAAGUCGAACGGCAGCACAGUAAGAGCUUGCUCUUACGGGUGGCGAGUGGCGGACGGGUGAGGAAUACAUCGGAAUCUACUUUUUCGUGGGGGAUAACGUAGGGAAACUUACGCUAAUACCGCAUACGACCUACGGGUGAAAGCAAGGGAUCUUCGGACCUUGCGCGAUUGAAUGAGCCGAUGUCGGAUUAGCUAGUUGGCGGGGUAAAGGCCCACCAAGGCGACGAUCCGUAGCUGGUCUGAAAGGAUGAUCAGCCACACUGGAACUGAGACACGGUCCAGACUCCUACGGGAGGCAGCAGUGGGGAAUAUUGGACAAUGGGCGCAAGCCUGAUCCAGCCAUACCGCGUGGGUGAAGAAGGCCUUCGGGUUGUAAAGCCCUUUUGUUGGGAAAGAAAAGCAGCAGGUUAAUACCCCGCUGUUCUGACGGUACCCAAAGAAUAAGCACCGGCUAACUUCGUG